rnacentral:rRNA from 1 species
GACGAACGCUGGCGGCGUGCUUAACACAUGCAAGUCGAACGGAAAGGCCCUGCUUUUGUGGGGUGCUCGAGUGGCGAACGGGUGAGUAACACGUGAGUAACCUGCCCUUGACUUUGGGAUAACUUCAGGAAACUGGGGCUAAUACCGGAUAGGAGCUCCUGCUGCAUGGUGGGGGUUGAAAGUUUCGGCGGUUUGGGGGAUGGACUCGCGGCUUAUCAGCUUGUUGGUGGGGUAGUUGGCUUACCAAGGCUUUGACGGGUAGCCGGCCUGAGAGGGUGACCGCACAUUGGGACUGAGAUACGGCCCAGACUCUACGGAGGCAGCAGUGGGAAUAUUGCACAAUGGCGAAGCCUGAUGCAGCAACGCCGCGUGCGGGAU